rnacentral:rRNA from 1 species
CUCUGUGACUCCUACGGGGAGCAGCAGUCGGGGGAAUAUUGCACAAUGGGCGCAAGCCUGAUGCAGCCAUGCCGCGUGUAUGAAGAAGGCCUUCGGGUUGUAAAGUACUUUCAGCAGUGAGGAAGGCGGGUACGUUAAUAGCGUAUUCGUUUGACGUUAGCUGCAGAAGAAGCACCGGCUAACUCCGUGCCAGCAGCCGCGGUAAUACGGAGGGUGCGAGCGUUAAUCGGAAUUACUGGGCGUAAAGCGCAUGCAGGUGGUUUGUUAAGUUCAGAUGUGAAAGCCCGGGGCGUCAACCUCGGAAUUGCAUUUGAAACUGGCAGACUAGAGUACUGUAGAGGGGGGUAGGAAUUUCAGGUGUAGCGGUGAAAUAGCGUAGAGAUCUGAAGGAAUACCGGUGGCGAAGGCGGCCCCCUCGGACAGAUACUGACACUCAGAUGCGAAAGCGUGGGGAGCAAACAGGAUUAGAUACCCUGGUAG